AGCCCCAUUACCAUGGCCAUUACUCAGGUCUUCCUGGGAGCAGACAAGGGAUAGCCUGUUAGUGGCAUGGGCAAAUGGGACAGGUUAGAUUAUCCUCAUGUGGGCUGUCUAAAAUCAUGGACACAGUUUAAUCAUUCAGACUGAGUUGGGGGACCCAAGGUCUACCACCCAGUCAAGAGACUACACUGAAGGCACUGUCAACCUGUGCCCCUUAAAUGAUGUAGGUCCCACUUGGGGAACUUCAAUGAUUGUAAGCAACACUUCUUGGGGCCACAAUGUGCACUCGCAAGGGCUGUACUUCUCAGGUGGAAAUCUAAUACUGCCUUGUCAUCCCUAUCAAUACCACGGUUAACUUAUCUAACGAUGGGUCAUAAGAGACCAUCUAGUGUUUAAGAAAGCAUGUAGCCCUCAGGUCACUGCGGAUCUCUCUCCAAAAUAAGCCCACCCGCAGUUACUUGGGGGAACCCCCAGAGGGAUAAUUGACUCACACUUAUGCAUGCCCUGUGGGAUAUCUCUAGAAUGAGAAUCAUCUAAUUAGAAAAAGGUGGUGAAUUUGUUUCCUAGGGCAGUUGUAACAAAAUACCACAAACUAGACGGCUUAAAACAAAAAAUUACGAAGGUUAGAAGUCUGAAAACAAGGUGUCAGGAGGGCCAUGCUCCCUCUGAAACCUUUGGCAAGAAUUCUUCCUGGCCUCUUCCCAGCUUCGGGUGGUGGCCAUCAAUCCUUGGUGUUCCUUGGCUUCCAGCUACAUCACUCCAACCUCUGCCUCUGUCAUCACAGGGCAUUCUCCCUGUGUGUCUCUCUGCUCAUCUUAUAAGGAUACCAGUCAUAUUGGAUUAUAGGUCCACCGCACCCCACUAUGACUUCAUCUUAACUAUUUACAUGUGCAAUGACCCUAUUUCCAAAUAUGGUCACAUUCUGAGGUACUAGAGGUUAGUCCUUCAACAUAUCUUUUGUGGGGGGAGGGGUUCCACCCAUAACAGAUGGUUAGAAAUUUGUUCCUAACCUUAGCUGAAGUGAUCAAUGAUAUCACCUUAGUCCUGGAAGUGAUUCAUGUCAGUCUCAACUCACUGGCCAGAGUUGUUCUGGAUGAAAGAACUGUCCUAGACUUGCCCCUCGUGGACCAAGGCAGAUCCUGCUACACCUGCAUUGAGACCUCAGGCCAAGUGGAAAGGAAGCAUACUGAAGCGUUGAGCAGCGACACUUCAUGAUGGCCACAAGUUACAGAGUUUUGGCCAGCCACCUCCAACUCACCAGUCCCCGCUACGAGAUGCUACUCUGAACAGCAGCUUUUCAUGAUCUAAUGAGUUUAAGAAAGCCUGACUGAUGGAUCCCUGCCCUAAAAGAUGAAUAAUCUUAGUUGGGAAUGCAAAAGCAAAAUGCACGUUACAGUUCACAGGGUGAAAGGAAUGAUGAGUAUGUACACGUAAGGGAAGCAUUAAACUCUAACAGCUGCAGAGUCACAAACCCCAGACCUGACAGGCACGAGCCGUGUGACUUUGGGUGAACUGUAUGGCCUCUUAGCUUUGAAGUUCUCAUCUAUACAAUGGAUUUCUGCAGAACUACCUUUCAGAGCAGUGAGAAGGACAUGAGAUACUGUAUACACAAACGACUUAACAUAGGACCCCCAACAGUUCACACAUAAUAAACAAUAAUUUUAUUUAGUUAGAGGAGGAACGAUGUUAGCCAGUUAACAUCUAAUACGUCAAUGGAAUAAUGUAUUCACCCUCUUCUUUAAAAUACCUUUGUAAUUACUAAUUUUAUUUCAUUUAUUUAAACUCCAAUAAUAUAUUUAUCUCUAACACAUCACCAAAACUUUGAUUAUACAUGCAUCCUGCUUGAUUAUACACAUACUUUUUUAUUUUCCUUCAUCUAGGCUUUUUUUUCUUACAUCUGGUCAUCCAUAGUAAGAACCUUAGAAGAGGAUAUUUUGUUCUUAGAAUUUUUAAUGAGGUCUGGAAGAGAUGAGCAAUUUUGUGGUAGAAUACAUUUAAAAGAUUAGCAACUAUGGGAAUAUUCCCUACAGUACAAUUUGAUGAAGGAAGUUUGGAGUUAACGCUUACGGGUGGUGAGAAUUGUAUUGAGUGGUCUUAAUUAACAACUUUAUUUGGCCAAGGAGUUUUAUGUUAGCGCUGAGGAAGGUGAGAAUUGAAUUCUGAAAUUUGUGAAUAAACUGACUGUGUGAAGGAAGGGCAGAAGGAUUUGCUGAGAUUGGCUUACGAGGAAGCCAAUAGCUCAUUCACCAGCCUCUCAAGAAAGAAAAGCAACUGGAGAAUCUAAGUGUGAGUUAAUCUAGAAGAGAACAACACUUUUCCUUAAAGAAAAGAAAAAAGCAGGAAAGUCUCACAAAGGAAAGUGCUAAGUUUUAAAAAUUACAGCUAUGAACUUUUCAAUGAUUCUAUAGAAUUAUAAAAAUUAUAGCAGUACUAUGGAAAUGGCCCAAAAUUACACUGACACAGAAGGAGUCAAGAGGAUUUAAUUCAUGCUUAAAAAAAAAGAUGGCUGCUGAUGAUAGGUUGCAUUUCUCAAUGAAUCUACAACUCCCUUUGAGGCUGAACUUAUAAUAUAGGAAUAUAAUUUGAAUAUUUUACCUUAAAAUUUUUUCGUGAAACUCCUUUUUACCUUUCAUUUUAGUUGUUACUUACCUUGAGGUCUCUUUGAGCCACUCUGCCCACUAUCAUGUGGGUCACAGUUAGUACUCUCUUGGCUCAGUGACAGUAAAUUUCAGACCACUGUUCAACCACACUUUUUUAAUAGAUCGUCCUUUGAAAUUUAUACUAUAAAUUUAUCAUCUCCAUCUAACAAACUCCAAGGCAUCUCUUUAUCAGGUCACUGAUUUUUUUUCCUCUCCAGUUCCAUUAUCAUCUUGAGUAGUUUCAACAUCCAUGUUUAUAAGCUAGACAUUACCACAACCUUAUUGUUCCUCAGGCUUCUCUACAUCAACAAUCAUCUACACUAUACUUCAGAAACUUACAUAUUUAUUAAACAAACCCUUUACAACAACUUCCUAAUUUUCAAUCCCAUCUUACUUUUACACAAAACCUGUUCUCCACACAUGAAAAUCUAGCUUAAUUCUAUCACACCUAGUUUAUUACUCAGCUGUCCCCUGGCUUCUUCUGACCCCCUCAUCCAACUUUGAACCUAUAGCUACAUAUUUCAAAUAUACUCUCACUAGCACUCUCAAAUCAUUUACCUAAUCCACUUCAUACCACACACCAAACAUGUUAAUCCCUAAGGAGGGUGUUCCUGCUCUUAAAUUUCUGAGUAUUGAGGAAGAAAAUCAUUUAAUUCUACAGAUUCUUCACUAAGCAUUGGGUAUUCCAGUUCCAGAAAGGAUCUUCAAUGCUAUACGGUCAUCCAGCUAGUUAAGCCUUCCCAGUCCCAUUGCUCCUCAAUGAAAUAAAUAAAUAAAAGCUCUGAAUCCCAAACCUGCUUCUUACCUUCCCUCUCUCUACACAGGUUGCACAUUGGAAUUAUCUAGAUCAUAUUUUUUAACACGUCAAGACCUUGGCCCCACCCCAAAACAAUUAAAUCAGGAUGCUUGGGUAUGGGAACCGUACGCCUGCUCUACACUUUUUGUUUGCCUCUAAACCUUCACCUGUUCUUUCUUGCUCCUCUGACAACCCUAUCCUCACCUUUAUCCAUGAAUUAUCUUAACUUUUACUAAUAACUUCAAUCUUUUUCUCUUACAUCUAAAACUACUCUAAAAUUUUAAAGUUUAUUUUAAAAUAGGCUGUAAUAAAUAAAGGUUAUUUUGAUCUAGAUGUCAUUAAAAAAUUAAGGCUUCAAACUAACAAAUCACUUACUAACAUAAUGCAUUAAGUAAAAUAAUGCCUAAAGGAUGCACCAUUUAAUAGUAUGUUAUAGUUUAUGUUAUCAAAAUACAUAUAAUUUUAUGCAACUGUGAAAUAAAUACUUCAAUAAUAAAGUCUUUCUACAUUAUAAUUACAAAAAAAAUGAUUAAUUAUAUUUCUUCUUAACGGUGGUGAAUAUAAGAAAACAAUAUAUUCGAUUUUUAGGAGCAAACAAAUGACUUCCCUGAAGUACAUAUGGCAUUAUAGGAUGCCAGAAGACAUUUUGCAUUUUUAGGAGAAACUGAACUGUUACACCAAAAUGCCAAUUAAGGUGGUAUCUUUAUCUGAAUAGGGUUUUACAGCAUCCCUUAAGGCACAUACACCCUAUCCAUAUGUGCCAGCCCAGUUCUGACAACAGUGUUAAUGCUCACUUGGGUACUGGUCCUCAGAUUUGAUAGGAAGGGAACUCAGAAAUACCUGAAGUGCUGUUUUUCAAAAUACUUUUCCUUAUCAUCUUCUCUACCCAUGCCCCAACAUACACUCAUUAUUAGGUUAUGAUAAGAUCCUUCCUGAAAACUUCAGAACACUGAAAUUCCCUUUCUGAAAACUAGUCUGAGUGAAGCUGGGUUCUUUUUCCUUGACCCUUGUUAUUAAUAACUUCAGUUUCCACCUGAAUUCAAAAUGAUUUAGCAAUCUAAAUAAAGUCUAUAGAUAAAGAUACAAUGUGGAGAGUCUGGAUGUGGAGCCACCACCCAAAAAGUGUUUGUUGUUGAAAAGAAAAAGUGUUGAGCCAAAAAGAGCUAAGCAACCUGAAUUGUCCUUAACCACUGAGGAAAUGAAAUAGGUAAUUUAAAAUCUCCAGACCCAGAUGGUUUCAGUGAAAAAUUCUAUCAAAAAUUUAAAGAAGAACUAACACAAUCUUCCAAAAUUGCGCAAUUUUACACAAUCUUUACCAAAAAAUAAACGAGGAGGGAACAUUUACCAACUCAUUUUAUGAGGCCAGUAUUAUCCUGAUACCAAAACUAGGAAAAGAUAGCAUAGAUAAUGAAAACCACAGAUCAAUAUCUAUCAUGAACUUAGAUGCAAAAUUCUUCAACAAAAUACAGCCACGCAUCACUUAAUGAUGGGGCUAUGU